rnacentral:rRNA from 1 species
UACGGGGGGAGCAAGCGUUGUUCGGAUUUACUGGGCGUAAAGGGCGCGUAGGCGGCCACCGCAAGUCAAUUGUGAAAUCUCCGGGCUUAACCCGGGAACUGCGUCCGAUACUGGAAGGCUUGAAUCCGGGAGAGGGAUGUGGAAUUCCAGGUGUAGCGGUGAAAUGCGUAGAUAUCUGGAGGAACACCGGUGGCGAAGGCGACAUCCUGGACCGGUAUUGACGCUGAGGCGCGAAAGCCAGGGGAGCAAACGGG